CCUACGGGAGGCAGCAGUGGGGAAUAUUGGUCAAUGGACGCAACUCUGAUCCAGCCAUGCCGCGUGCGUGAAGAAGGCUCUAUGAGUUUAAAACUCUUUUUGUAGGAGCGUAAACGUCGGUACGCGAAUCUGACUGCCCGCAUCUCACUACUAAGGAUCGGCCAACUCCGUGCCGGGGGCCGCGGUAAUCCGGAGGAUUCAUGCGUUAACCGGAUGUAUUGGGGUUAAAGGGUGUGUAGUGGGUCGGAUACGUUAGAGGUGAAAUCCCGUGGCUCAACUUCGGAAUUGCAUCUGAUACUGUUAGGCUAGAGAGCAGGAGAGGUAGGUGGAAUGCAUAGUGUAGCGGUGAAAUGCGUAGAGAUUAGGAAGAACACCAGUUGCGAAGGCGGCUUACCGGACUGCAACUGACGUUGAGGCACGAAAGCGUGGGGAGCAAACAGGAUUAGAUACCCCUGUAGUC
rnacentral:rRNA from 1 species